UCAAAUGCGUUGAAGAGGACAAUUAGAUUCGGGCCUGUCAUUCAGAGAACUGCCGGCUGGUGCGAGGCAGCAGACGCCGAAUUGAACAAUCCCCUCUGAGCAGGCCCCCGAACUAACAGUAGACGGGCCCGGGAUUCUGCCGUUACAGAGAAGCAUCGUUGUUGGACGAUGGCUAAGAGGACGUUUUACGUCAACUAGGGUGGUAACGCGGAGCAGCUCCGUCCCUUAU
rnacentral:ncRNA from 1 species